UCCGAGUUGACCCCGGCAGUCUCCUACGAGUCCCCGGCAUUACCCGCUGGCAACAUAGGACAAGGGUUGCGCUCGUUGCGGGACUUAACCCAACAUCUCACGACACGAGCUGACGACAGCCAUGCACCACCUGUGCAAGGCCCCUAAGGACACCGUAUCUCUACGGCUUUUCCCUGCAUGUCAAGCCCAGGUAAGGUUCUUCGCGUUGCUUCGAAUUAAGCCACAUGCUCCGCCGCUUGUGCGGGUCCCCGUCAAUUUCUUUGAGUUUUAACCUUGCGGCCGUACUCCCCAGGCGGAUGACUUAACGCGUUAGCGGCGGCACCGAGGGAGUGGAUACCCCCGACACCCAGUGCCCAUCGUUUACGGCGUGGACUAC
rnacentral:misc_RNA from 1 species